rnacentral:lncRNA from 1 species
GAGCCACCUCCCCUAAGGUUCCUGCCCGGGAUUAGAGAUGGCAACUCACCGGCCGGCUGAGUGAAACGGAGCCUCAAGAGAAGCACUUCUGUGCAGAAAUGGCGGAAUAUGCUCAGGCUUCGGACAGUAAUGAGGCAGCAGGAACACUUGCUUAUGUUUAAGGUUUGGAUAGAAUUCUGGCCAUUGUCUUGGAUGUAGCUGGGCUUGGUGACCAUUUCUGCAACUCUCAUGGCUCCCCCAUCCUCUGUUGGGGUGUCCCUGCAGCCUCUUGCAGCUCCCCUUCUUACCUAAAGCUGGAGAAGCACCCCACUGCCACUAGGGAGCCAUGCAGUGCCAGCCCUGGCCUCACUGCUGGGUCCCGAGC